rnacentral:misc_RNA from 1 species
GAUGAAGAACGCAGCGAAAUGCGAUAAGUAAUGUGAAUUGCAGGAUUCAGUGAAUCAUCGAAUCUUUGAACGCACAUUGCGCCCCCUGGUAUUCCGGGGGGCAUGCCUGUCCGAGCGUCAUUACAACCCUCAAGCUCAGCUUGGUAUUGGGCCCCGCCGCUCCGGCGGGCCCUAAAGUCAGUGGCGGUGCCGUCCGGCUCCGAGCGUAGUAAUUCUUCUCGCUCUGGAGGUCCGGUCGUGUGCUCGCCAGCAACCCCCAAUUUUUUUCAGGUUGACCUCGGAUCAGGUAGGGAUACCCGCUGAACUUAAGCAUAUCAAUAAGCGGAGGA